UGUGAAGGGUUUUGAACAGGAAAACAUGAC
rnacentral:piRNA from 1 species